AUUUUGUUGAAUGAGAGUACACGUGUAUGUGAUGUACAUUACCUUUAUAUCCCCUUGAACGCUUCAAUAUUGCGCAUAUAUACUAUAUUUUGUACAGCUUCUAUAAAAUUUUGUAUGUUUGUUUAGGCUGUUAAUCUAGAGGCUGGAGUACAAAGAAGUGGCACAAUGAUGUGGGCUGAUGACAUUUAUAAUUAUCAAGGAAUCACCCCUACAUUCGCUCAGAAUUUUAAUGAAACUGUCCCUUGGGAAGGAAGAACUGAUACCUUGAUAUCACGGUUUGUACAUCCUAUAUAUACGACAAAUUUUAGAACAUUAUAUAACGAAGAACCAGAUCGUCGUGGCCAUGUGAUGUGAAUAAAAGGACUUGAAUUUGAUGAUAUUUUUAUAAUGUUAGAUAACAUAACUAAGUAUCUUCACAGUAAGAUAGGAUGACAUGGUUUACAUGAUCUUAAUGUUGUUCACUUGAGUGAUGAUAUUAUAAGGAAAAGUGUAAUAUCACAGGAUAUUUAUGUUUAGUAACCAGUAAUUCAGAGAUUGGUAUUCAUGGUUACUAUAACGAGGCUGUAGAAACGCACCCUUUCUUCUUUGCAAAUGGUCCUGUAUUUAUGUCUAAGCCGAAACUGGAACCUCUGAAUAAUUUAGAUUUAUUCUUGUUAUUUUCUAAAAUACUUAUCUACAGUAUACCAUAAGGAAUGAUACCGUAUCACACCUAAUCAAGUGCCUUAAGAAACAUCAACAGGAUAUCACAGUAAUCCCUUAUCGACUGAUAUUUGUAGCCACUACAAUAUCUAUGACACUGGUAGUAAUUAUAAGAACAAUAAUGAUAUUCUAUAAGAGGAAAUGAUGAUUAGGAACAAAAACUUACAGGAGAUAUCAUGCGGUGGAUGGAUAAUAUGUAAAAAAUAUUAAGCAGUAUAUGAAUUUUCAUAUUGCGUAGAGAUAACAAAAUGAAUUUUAAAAAAUGUCGACAUGAUUUUGAAAUAUAGUGAAACGUUUAAUUAGUAUCUUAAUAUCUUUAAAUAAUUAUUAUUUUAGAAUCAAUUGUAAUUGUAUCAUACGUACUUUUGAAUUUGUGCAAGAACAUAUGUUAUUUUGAAGUAGUUAUUAUUAGGAAAUUGUUAGACGCGAACAGUAUGCGAAAAGUUAGUAUGCAGUGUAAUAAUUAUCAAUCAAAACACAAGAAUUAAAUUCUUUAGGAAAAAAUUUCCGGAAUUUCUUAUUUACAUGAUUAUAAAGAAAUCCAUAAUAAAAAGGAGCUGCUUUCUAAUACUUCUCUUCCUUGUAAUGCCUACGUUAACAAUAACGAGGUUCGACUUUUUGUUUUUAGAGGGAUACUGGAAAAUUUGAAAGUACAGUACCAUUGGGAAGAAAAUCACGAUAUUGAAAACGAUAUUUGCAAAUUGAACAAUAUUCCAGAUUUAUUCAUAAUUUCAUACUACGCGAAGAAUAGACUUUCAUAGGUAUAUAAAGGAAAUAUUAAGUAUAGGAAAACUCUUUUUCGUUGUAGGUGACAUAUGCUUCACGGUUGAACACAUGUAUUUUUGAACACAUAUAAAUGAAAAAGUACUCUUAUGGAGAAAAAGAAUUGAUACCUUCGAUUGACAUUAGAUAAUGUAUAUAAACUUAUGAACAAUCACUAUCAGUUUGUAUUUUAGGUGCACACGCAGAUUUGUUGGAGUUCUUAUAAAAUGUACUUCCUGUACGAACGUUUUAUUCUUCCAAAUUUUACGAUACUAUGUCUCAUAUAAUAACUAUAUGGAUUAAACGUAAUAUAAAUGAUCCGAAAAUAGACUCGAACGACAUUAAUUGUCUUUCUAUUUAUACCAAUAUCGAAAAUACAAGUAAGGCUGGAGCAAUAGUAUGCAAGAAUGGACUAUUUAUUAUUUUAAACCAAAUCAUAGCAUAUUCAGAAUGCACAGUAUUAUCAUGAAAUGUAAAUGAAUCAGUUGUAAACGAACGAUUUUACUGUAAAAUCGUUGCCUCCUUUUUUUUCAUCUGAAAUAUAGCAACAAUGAGUACAUUCUUUUAAUAUAUAAUAAAACGAGAUAUCUUUAUAAAGUUACAUAUGUAAUCACUGGUAACUGUUAUCUCGUAUGACACCAAAUAUACCGUUAGUAUGGAAUGAUAUUUUUAUGAAGAUAUACUUUAAUGAUAGGUUUUAUGAAUGAAACGUUAUAUAAGAAAAAUUAUCUCUUGUUAUUCUAUGAAGUGUAGUAGCUAAUGAAGAUUAAUUUUACGAAGUAUUAGAGCAAAAGAGAAUUAAAAAAUUAAAAAGAUCUAAAUAAGA